UCAUUCCUGCCGUGUUCGCGAUUGUCAUAAAAUCCUUGAACCAUUUAUACGCAACGGCUGCGGGAUUUUGUUCGACAGGUGUGAGCGUCGCUAGUCCGAUGAGCCCGAAGUUGAACUAACUGCGGCCAACUUGAAUCGCUUUGGUUCAGGAUGCCGACAAAGCGGCACAGGCGGGACUUUA
rfam:Collimonas arenae strain Cal35, complete genome.